AAAUUGAAGAGUUUGAUCAUGGCUCAGAUUGAACGCUGGCGGCAGGCCUAACACAUGCAAGUCGAACGGUAACAGGAAACAGCUUGCUGUUUCGCUGACGAGUGGCGGACGGGUGAGUAAUGUCUGGGAAACUGCCUGAUGGAGGGGGAUAACUACUGGAAACGGUAGCUAAUACCGCAUAACGUCGCAAGACCAAAGAGGGGGACCUUAGGGCCUCUUGCCAUCGGAUGUGCCCAGAUGGGAUUAGCUAGUAGGUGGGGUAAAGGCUCACCUAGG
rnacentral:rRNA from 1 species